UAAAGAAUCUUUUUUGCCCUGACUCUUCUGACUCAGAAUAAUGUGUUUGAGAAUCAUCAAUGUUGUGCCCAUCAAUUGAGCAGUUAAUUCUGAAUGGAAGAUAGACAUAAAGUGAGGAAUGGCAAAGACAAGCUAAAAGCCAUGAAUAUAAACUGAAACUGAAAAGUAUCAGGAAGAUAGACAUAAAGUGAGAAACGGCAAAGACAAGCUAAAAGCCAUGAAUAUAAACUGAAACUGAAAAGUAUCAGUUGUCUGAAACCCAUGAGGACAUACUCACUGGACCCUUAUCAGUUCUUAUUGCUUCCACCAUGGUGAAUUGCAUGUCCUACAGGAGAAGCUGACACCCUGAAGAACGGAACUAAAUCAUAUCUGGUCAUCAGUAAGAGCAGAAAGAGGAUUUAAGGGUAAGUGGAAGAGUUGCAGACUUAGUAGUUGUUGCUCUACACCAAAGAGAUAAACAAGCAGGUGGACACCAACAUGAGUGAGGUGCAGAAGCUGUUUGCCCCAACCUCUCAAGCAAAUACACAAAAAAGCUACUACUUCACUUCUGUAUUCCAAAUAUUGAAUGAAAAUAUGACUAUUAUUUGUCUGAACUGGAAAUAUUCUGAGAAGGAAACCCCAGGAAAUAUUCCACCUCAGAUGCCUGAAUCCUGAGUAUGGAAGAAACAAUUGAUUUGAAGUACAUACUGCAUCCUGGAGGAGGUUUUCCUACUUAUCCUACGUACUGCCACCUAACUGAUGCUAUAAACAAGUCUUCAAAAGGCCAGUUUGCCUGUUGCUUCGGGAUAGUGGGAAACAUGCUAAGACCAGUUAAUUUCAUGAGACUGGACCCAUGUCUGCUCUGCAUCUGCUAUAAAGUGAGUUCCAACGAUCAGAAGCAAUGAUAAAUGGAAUAGUAUGAUGGCAGAUAAGGCAUCAAUAAGUCCAUGGAUGGUGUUGACAGAAGUGUUACAGUCAGGGAAGGGAAAUUCAUAUUCAGGGUAAUUGUCUAUUGAAGUGAGAACAAAGUGUCUCCCCUUCCAAGAUGAAGUAGUUUAAAGUAAUCAACUUGCCACCGGGUAACUGGCUGAUCACUCUGGGGAGUUGUGCCAUAGCUGGUACUCAGUGCUAAUCUCUGUUACAGGUUGGACAUUCAGUAGUGAGUGGCUGCAGUCAGGUCAGCUUUGGUGAGUGGCAGGCCAUGUUGCUGAGCUCAUGCAUACCUUUCAUCCUUGCCACUAGGGCCAUUUUGUUCAUGAACCCAUUGGGCAGUGACAGGAGCAGCCAGGAAUGAAGGUGCCUGGUAUCUAUAGAAUGGGUCAUCCUCUUCACUUGAUCAUUAAAAUUCUUCUUUGCUGAUAUCACUCUUUAGUAAGCAUUCACAUGGAACACAAAUAGAAUGACAUUCUUCACCCAUUAUAUCAGGUCUACCCACUGUUCCCUUCCCCUGGUCACUGGCACUAGUACUACUGUGAGUAAGAGCCUCCUUAAAUUGUGUGUGCUAGGGACCUCAGUUGUCUCACUCACCCUAGUCCUGGCCAGGGUCUAUAUCUCCAUGUCCAAACUACUUAAAAGACCAAGAAAAUUCUGUCUACAAACUUCUACCAUUUAUUUUUAGAAAUUGAGGAAAAUGGGAAAGAUACCAGAAGCCUGAAGAGGAUUAACUAUUGAGCAAUUCUGCCCAGAAAUUUCAGAAACCAUUCAUUCAUGCAUCCCUUUACAUGACAUUGAUAGCAUGCCAGACUGGGCAAUUUGGACUUUAUGCUGAAGACAGCAGGGAAUCAUUGAAGAGAUUUAAGCUUAUGAGAAAAGGCUGAUGUCAUUAGAUUUAUAGUAUUCAUAGAAGUCUCUCUGAUUGCAGUAUAGACUAUGGAACAAAAGGGGAAGGGAUCGAAAACAGGGAGGACCUAUUUUUUUCCUGAAUGAACGUGGGAGAAGUGAUAGCCAUUGUGCCUCAAUAAAGCUUAUAUGAAAAGAAAGAGUGGUCAGUUUUUCUCAAGCUACCCAGGAAGAUACUCAAGGGCUGAGGAUAUUGAAGUGGGAGCCACAGAGAAGUUUCAAGGAUGGGAUAAUAGUUGCAGAGUCAUAGAAAAAUAUGUAGAUAACUAAUAGAUGAAAAAAAAGGGUAAGGUGUAUUCUAGAUAAAAGCCACCUGAU